rnacentral:lncRNA from 1 species
GCUCCGUGAAAGGAUCUGCUAAGGACAGAGAACAGCCGGGAGCAGGAGGGGGACGCGGGGGUGCCGGGGGACCUGGGCCGUGGCCCUGGCCAGAUUCAGGAUCUAUUUCUCAACAUUUCACGUUGAACAUUUGUUUUAAUGUUCAAAUGGAGUUAAAGUAAAGGAGAACUUUUUGUGCAGUUUGACUCUUCUCCAGCCAGAGGACUCUUCUUUAGUGGGAAGGAUAGCAUCUCCACAGGAUCCUGCUUUGUGGUAAGGUUGGCAUUGAUAGCACAUGAGUCAAGAUCUAACUCUACGAGGGGAGCCAAGUAUUUGAAACAUGACCUUAAAAGUAUUGUAUUCAUUCGCUUCCCCACCUUCUUCCCAAAUAGAGUUGCACGUGUUCCACUAUUUCUAUACCUUGGAAUUUUUUCCUCAGGGAAAGAAAUUUAGUCCUUGAAUGGGAAAAUGCAUGACUUUAGAGUAAGGAGAAUGCAUAUUCAGACAGAUUACAGGUCUUGAGCACAGCUGAAGAAUAAUUGGGGCAGGGCUGACAACAUGUGGAAGACAUUUAACAACCUUGAGUGUACAGAAACACACGCUAUAAACCUUUUCAGGGGUGUUCUGUCAUCUCA